AGGUAUUCAUGUAUGAGAUUUAUUGACAGAAUCCCCUCUGUCUCCACAGCAGGUCAGGGUUAUGCAGCCAGGGUUCAUGUGAAGGACCCUAGGGAAUAAGGGCAGACAAACCCAAGGGCGCACCUUGAAGAUGCCUGUUCUGGAUGCUGACCCAAGCCAAGGUCACCUGCGGCCUGUCCCCAUGGCCUGGUGGUGACGCCCGAGUCCGAGGCGCCUCGGAAUUGUCAUCGUUAGAAUAGCAAUGUGAUCGCUGACACAGCUCAGACCACUUCAUAUUGACCUUGUAGUCAGAGCUCCCUUCUGUUUUUAAAUGAAGGGGAAUCAAACUAACCCUCUAGACCUGUGAACUGGGCUACCAGACGCAGAUCCUCUUAGUGGCAUCGUGUGCGGAGUCCACGCGGGUGUGUGUGUGUGUGAACACUUGGAGGGAAGGGAAUACCAUCACACUAAAAUC
rnacentral:lncRNA from 1 species